CUGCAUGGGAGAAGGAGGAAAGACGGAGCAAUCUGUCACUUGUGGAUGGGCCUGCGGCGCAUUAGCUAGUUGGUGGGGUAAAGGCCUACCAAGGCGACGAUGCGUAGCCGACCUGAGAGGGUGAUCGGCCACACUGGGACUGAGACACGGCCCAGACUCCUACGGGAGGCAGCAGUAGGGAAUCUUCCGCAAUGGGCGAAAGCCUGACGGAGCAACGCCGCGUGAGUGAUGAAGGUUUUCGGAUCGUAAAGCUCUGUUGCCAGGGAAGAACGUCUUGUAGAGUAACUGCUACAAGAGUGACGGUACCUGAG
rnacentral:rRNA from 1 species